GGGCUUCCCUGGUUUGGUCACUUCCUUUUCCUGUGCGGCUGAUGGGGCGGGAAUGUGUGGGUGCGCGCGGUCGCUGGGUAAUGCGCUGUCUGAGGCGUGGUGGGGCUGAAGUUCCAGCCCCGAGACCUCCUAAAUCUCUCCGGAAAGGGAUGCGUUGGGCUUGUGAACUGGCCGACUCGGCGGGCCAGGGGUCGCAGUAGAGGGAAGCACUGGAAAAGAAUGAAACAGGGAGGCCCGGCUUCCUGGAGAAACAAACUAAGCUAACAAAUUUUUCGGGUUCUUUGUGCAGCUCAUUUUACCACGCUGUGUCGUGCAUGUUAUUAUAUUUGGACAUCACGGCGUCCUGAGUGGUCUCCCUCUCUGCUGCAAGCUCUGCUGUAAUCCAGAGACACUCGAGUAUCUCUGUGGGAUAAUUUAUUCAUUCGGUUAACAUACAUUACUGCGAGCUUUGUAUACACCCGUACUGUUCUAACCACCAGAGAUACACAAAUCUGCUCUGAGGGAAGCCAUGUACAUCAUUAGCAGUUCUAUAAAGAGGAUCACGUGGCAAGAAACAAACAUUCUGCCAGCAGCCCUGUGAAUGAAUGUGGAAGUAGACCCUCAAGCCCUAAUCAAGUCUUCAGAGACUGUACUCUCAACCAACAACUUGACUGCAACCUCAUAAGAGACCCUGAGCCAGACCACCCAACCAGAAACUGUGUGAGAUAAUAUUUGUUGUAUUAAGAUGCUAAAUUUGAGGGUCAUUUGUUAUAUGAGACAAGUAGAAGGUAAGAGAUAAUGAAAAUUCAGUAGAGUCAGUAAGUUGUACAUCCCUGUGGGGGUCUAAGAUUUGUUAGAGCUCAUCAAAAGAAUGUGCUAGAAUAAGAAGUGGUGACCUGACAGUAGGAUGCUUGAAGCUGAGUGUAUGGAGAGGCUGUGAUUAUUGGUGCUGUCAAAGUCUAUCGUAUGACCAAAGAAGGGAAAGCUAAGGUAGGUGAAAGAAAAAGAUCACUGGAUAAGAAGAGGUCAUAGAAACCAAGCACCAGAGCAUUGAGUGGAUGAUCCAUGAGGAUACUGAAAUCACCAAAAAAUAUAAUAAGAAUGAUGUUGGAGAGAGCCAGUAGCAACAAUUUUCAAGGAAUUUCAGGAAAAGGCUUGGAAGUUGGUGGAUAAGUAUAGCUUGGAAAGCCAAGCAUGGUAUAGUCUGGUGAUAUGAGGUUCAAAGUUAAAGGUGAGGUUAAGAAAAAGGGAGGAGGUAGUUUAGCAAUAGCACUGAGUAACUGAAUAGCGAGAAGGAAACCCAUCCUACCUCCACCCAGAGGGGCAAGGAACAAAAAACAGCUACUAUUAGGUGACUGCAGAAGUAAUUCUGGUUUUUGCAUUGUUGGAAUUUGCCGUUUGAUAUUGGAAUAUGUGCUUUAAUAAAUGUAUGUUAUACAUCA